CUGGGCUCUGCCCAGCGGCUGCGGCUGGAGGAAGGCUAUGCUUCUCCUGCUUCCUGCUUCCUCUGCCCCCAUCUACCCCGUCUGACUCGCCUUGCCUGUCCUCCCACCUGCCUGUUGGCUGGCAGUCUUGGCCUCUCCUAGGAAGGUCCAACCCAGUUCCUCCCACCCUCCAAAGAGAAAGCUGACUGCCUUUGAGUUGGGUGCUCAUGGGGGACACAGAGACAGGAGGAGAAGGUACUUAGCUCCUCCUUAUAACCCAAUCUCAUCUUCAGGCAGGAGCCUCAUAAGUCCCUCCUGCCACUUGGCUGCAGAAACUACUCUGGGAGGUUAACUGGAAGGCAGAAACCACCAGAUGUUGAACACAUGUCUUCUGGAAGAAUCAGCGCUGCAAUUUUUCCCCGGGAAAUCUCCCCCGUCUGAUGUCAGUCCCUCUCUACCUUGAAUGGACCUUCCUCUGCCCCUGCACCAAGCGAUAGACCUGAGACCCAGCCUGGACACAGGAUUGGUGGAAGACUGGGCAUGUGACCCGGUGAGAGCCAAUCAGAGGAAGGACUGAGAUUUUUUUUUUUUCUUUGAAGAGAGACCCACUUUCCCCUUGGGAGGAAAAGGAUGCCUAAAGCUUCUGAGCCCCAAAGCAGAACCAAGACCUGGCCAGGAGGACAUUAACUGAAAUCUUUGAACUCAUGAAUCUUAUUGUGAGUCAGUGAGGAAUAAUGAUUAUUACUAUGAUUUUUUUUUUUUUUGCUUGCAUCUAUUUGAGUUUUCAGUCACUGACAACCAAAUGUUCUGACUGAACAUGUCAAUAAGGUGCACUUUCUCUUUUCCUCUCUCUUUAUAGAUAGACUUAGGAAUAUAAAAUAUAUGUAUCCUGUCUAUCUUUAAUUAAAAUGACAGCGCAUGUUGGAGA